rnacentral:rRNA from 1 species
GACAGAGGGUGCAAACGUUGUUCGGAAUCACUGGGCGUAAAGCGCGUGUAGGCUGCUGCGCAAGUCGGAUGUGAAAUCCCACGGCUCAACCAUGGAAGUGCAUUCGAAACUGCGUAGCUAGAGUUUUGGAGAGGAAGGCGGAAUACUCGGUGUAGAGGUGAAAUUCGUAGAUAUCGAGUGGAACACCGGUGGCGAAGGCGGCCUUCUGGACAAUGACUGACGCUGAAACGCGAAAGCGUGGGGAGCAAAC